rnacentral:rRNA from 1 species
GACGAACGCUGGCGGCGUGCCUAAUACAUGCAAGUCGCACGCGGCACCUUCGGAUGCUUAUCGGCGAACGGCUGAGGAACACGUGGGGGCCUGUCCGGGAGUGGGGGACAACACCGCGAAAUCGGUGCUAAUCCCCCAUACGCACUGAGGAUGAAAGCCGAAAGGCGCACCGGGGUGGCCCUGUUGCCCAUCAGGUGGUGGGUGGGGUGACUGCCUACCAAGCAAAUGACGGGUCGCUGGUCUGUGAGGACGAGAAACCAGACCGGGAAGGGGACACGGCUGAGAAUCCUACGGGAGGGGGCAGAAAGGUAUUUUAGGAAAGGGGCGCAAGUCUAACAGAGCAACGCGGCGGGCAAGACGACGGCCUUCGGGUUGUAAACUGCUUAUGAUAGGGAUGAUAAAGGACAGUACCUGGCGAAUAAGCCCCGGCUAACUCUGUG